rnacentral:rRNA from 1 species
UAAUACAUGCAAGUCGAGCGAGCUUGCCUAGAUGAUUUUGGUGCUUGCACUAAAUGAAACUAGAUACAAGCGAGCGGCGGACGGGUGAGUAACACGUGGGUAACCUGCCCAAGAGACUGGGAUAACACCUGGAAACAGAUGCUAAUACCGGAUAACAACACUAGACGCAUGUCUAGAGUUUGAAAGAUGGUUCUGCUAUCACUCUUGGAUGGACCUGCGGUGCAUUAGCUAGUUGGUAAGGUAACGGCUUACCAAGGCAAUGAUGCAUAGCCGAGUUGAGAGACUGAUCGGCCACAUUGGGACUGAGACACGGCCCAAACUCCUACGGGAGGCAGCAGUAGGGAAUCUUCCACAAUGGACGAAAGUCUGAUGGAGCAACGCCGCGUGAGUGAAGAAGGGUUUCGGCUCGUAAAGCUCUGUUGGUAGUGAAGAAAGAUAGAGGUAGUAACUGGCCUUUAUUUGACGGUAAUUACUUAGAAAGUCACGGCUAACUACGUGCCAGCAGCCGCGGUAAUAC